rnacentral:sRNA from 1 species
UGCCAGGCUGCUGGGGUCUCCGUCCACGUGUGCAAUGAGCACCGUUAUGGGUACAUGAAUGUGCCGGUGAAAUCCCACCAGGGGCUGGAAGACGAGAGGGUCAACUUCAUCCACCUGAUCUUAGAAGCACUAGUGGACGGCCCCCGCAUGCAGGCCUCAGCUCAUGUGACUCGGCCCUCUAAGAGGCCCAGCAAGAUAGGGUUUGACGAGGUCUUUGUCAUCAGCCUGGCUCGCAGGCCUGACCGUCGGGAACGCAUGCUCGCCUCGCUCUGGGAGAUGGAGAUCUCUGGGCGGGUGGUGGACGCUGUGGAUGGCCGGAUGCUCAACAGCAGUGCCAUCAGGAGCCUCGGCGUAGACCUGCUCCCGGGCUACCAGGACCCUUACUCGGGCCGCACUCUGACCAAGGGCGAGGUGGGCUGCUUCCUCAGCCAUUACUCCAUCUGGGAAGAGCGAGCAGUACAAGGCACACUUCUGGCCACGGGACCUGGUGGCCUUCUCCGCCCAGCCCCUGCUCGCUGCCCCUACCCACUAUGCCGGGGACGCCGAGUGGCUC